rnacentral:lncRNA from 12 species
ACUCAGGAGUGGAGGGAGGAGUCAGCAGGGUUUGGUGAGGCUCACCUCCCCACCCCCCACCCCCCACCCCUCCCCUUCCCUCCCGGCCUCUCCCACAACAGGCGUUUUGCUCCAAGUGGUGAGAAAGUCGUCUUAGCUUCAGGGCCUUGUCGUGUCUCCAGCAAAUGUGCAGAAAGGCGGGAGACCUUAAUGAGACACUCUGCUUCGUCAACUUGGUUACUUCCUGUGCUGUGGAUCAGAGAAGUUGUCCUGGAGAUGUCCUCCGACUGCAAGAGAAGUCAUCAUCUGUGUCCUGAGAAGUCAGCAAGCAUCCUUGGCUAAGCCUCAGAGAUGCAGCAGCCACAGCCAGGAGAAGUGUGCGGGCUUGCAGAAAAGUCCAGAAGCUGCAUUUCAUCAAGGCCAGGCUUGGGGUGAAGGCAGUGGGUUAUGUUGUGUGAGGGAAGGGUUAGAUCCCAUCAUUGUUUUAGUUAUUACAAUUUGAUGUUCCUUUCAUCAUGAUUUCUUUA